rnacentral:rRNA from 1 species
CAAAUUACACCGUAACUUCGGGAGAAGUUGUGCCGCUGGCGGUUAGUGACUUCGCGUCACGAAGCUGUCGGUGGUCGCAGUGAAAUGGCGGUUGUGACUGUUUACUAAAAACACAGGACUCUGCGAAGUCGUAAGACGACGUAUAGGGUCUGAUGCCUGCCCGGUGCUGGAAGGUUAAGGGGAUAUGUCAGCGCAAGCGAAGCAUUGAACCGAAGCCCCAGUAAACGGCGGCCGUAACUAUAACGGUCCUAAGGUAGCGAAAUUCCUUGUCGGGUAAGUUCCGACCUGCACGAGGGCAUAACAACAUCCGCACUGUCUCGACCAGGGACUCAGCGAAAUUACAUUGGGGGUGAAGAUGCCCUCUACCCGCGGAAAGACGGAAAGACCCCAUGAACCUUUACUGCAACUUGGCAGUGAUUUUCGGGUUGUUCUGCGUAGGAUAGGUGGGAGGCUUUGAAGCCGGGCUUCCGGGUUCGGCAGAGCCAACGUUGAAAUACCACCCUGAAUAAUCUGGAAAUCUAACCUGCGGCCAUGAUCUGGGCGAGGGACACUGCCUGGUGGGCAGUUUGACUGGGGCGGUCGCCUCCUAAAUUGUAACGGAGGCGUGCGACGGUUCCCUCAGGCUGAUUGGAAACCAGCCGUAGAGUGCAAACGCAUAAGGGAGCUUUACUGCGAGACUGACAAGUCGAACAGUUGCGAAAGCAGGUGUUAGUGAUCCGGUGGUACCACAUGGAAGGGCCAUCGCUCAUCGGAUAAAAGGUACUCUGGGGAUAACAGGCUGAUCGCGCCUGAGAGUUCACAUCGGCGGCGCGGUUUGGCACCUCGAUGUCGGCUCAUCGCAUCCUGGGGCUGGAGCAGGUCCCAAGGGUUUGGCUGUUCGCCAAUUAAAGCGGUACGCGAGCUGGGUUUAAAACGUCGUGAGACAGUUUGGCCCCUAUCUUCCGUGGGCGCAGGACACUUGAGAGGAGCUAUCCAUAGUACGAGAGGACCUGGAUGGACGAACCUCUGGUGCUCCGGUUGUCACGCCAGUGGCAUAGCCGGGUAGCCAUGUUCGGAACAGAUAACCGCUGAAGGCAUAUAAGCGGGAAGCUGGCCUCAAGACUAGGUGUCCCUGACGCAAGUCACUAAAGGCCCCUCGAAGACUACGAGGUUGAUAGGCUCGGUGUGGAAGCGCUGCGAGGCGUGGAGCUAACGAGUACUAAUAGGCCAGCGACUUGACCCC